rnacentral:rRNA from 1 species
UACGUAGGGGGCAAGCGUUGUCCGGAUUUACUGGGCGUAAAGAGCGAUGUAGGCGGCCAAGCAGGUCCGUUGUGAAAACUCGAGGCUCAACCUCGAGCUGUCGGCGGAAACCAUCCGGCUAGAGUCCGGAAGAGGAGAGUGGAAUUCCCGGGUGUAGCGGUGAAAUGCGCAGAGUAUCGGGAAGAACGACCUGUGGCGAAGGCGGCUCGCUGGG